UACGUAGGGUGCAAGCGUUGUCCGGAAUUAUUGGGCGUAAAGAGCUCGUAGGCGGUUUGUCGCGUUGUUCGUGAAAACUCACAGCUUAACUGUGGGCGUGCGGGCGAUACGGGCAGACUGGAGUACUGCAGGGGAGACUGGAAUUCCUGGUGUAGCGGUGGAAUGCGCAGAUAUCAGGAGGAACACCGGUGGCGAAGGCGGGUCUCUGGGCAGUAACUGACGCUGAGGAGCGAAAGCGUGGGGAGCGAACAGG
rnacentral:rRNA from 1 species